GUGGAUUCUGCUCUCAGUCUCUGGGUUUCUUGGUUUUGCAGUGUAGAUGGAUCGACGGGUCUAAUGAAGACGCCCUCUGCUGCUCUUCCAUGGAUUUGUACAACUCCUGAAUUCAGCAAAAUAUUCUUGACCUGUUUACUCGGUGGCAGAUCAGCGAGCCUACAGCCUUGUUGGUCACAUUCGGGCUUCCCUCCGGUAGGGUGGAUGCAGUCAUACUUACAUCAAUGAGCUUCUGCCUCAGGCUGUACUCCUCCUCCAGGUGACGGGUGCAGGAAUGGAGCUUCUCGCACUCAGCCUGCAACUGUAAGACAAAUUCCUGCAUGU